UACGUAGGGUGCGAGCGUUGUCCGGAAUUAUUGGGCGUAAAGAGCUCGUAGGCGGUUUGUUGCGUCUAUCGUGAAAACCUGCAGCUUAACUGUGGGCUUGCGGUGGGUACGGGCAGACUAGAGUGUGGUAGGGGAGACUGGAAUUCCUGGUGUAGCGGUGAAAUGCGCAGAUAUCUGGAGGAACACCGGUGGCGAAGGCGACGUC
rnacentral:rRNA from 1 species